CUGCACUCUUAUGGAAGUUGCCGCAAACAGGUCAAAUGAAGUUAAUUGAAAAGUAUUAAGCAAGAUUCAGUCACCGUCAUGGCACUAGUUACGAAUGGACACGUCUGAGAAAAACAAAUAAGUGAGGAAACAACAAAAUCCUUGAGGAGACCUGUCGACAAACAAAAUGGCUGCCAACAUGGAUACUCCCUUUCAGUGAAAUGAAGGAGAAAUGACUUGGUCGUCAAAUAAGGACUGGUGUGUAGGAUUUGGUGGCAUCUGGCACUGAGGUUCCAAAUUGAAACCAAAUAAAUACCCCUGCCCUCACUGCUGCCUUUCCAAGUGUGUGUGCGAACCUUCAGGACUUCCUUUAAAGGAAAAGGGGACGAACUCAGGGGAAAUGUGAGGUGAUGAUGAGAUUGCUAUUAAAGCUAAGUGUUGGGGAACAGAAGAAUGAUCACCUCGCCAAUAGAAGAGUGUGCAGCAGUUUCGAAGAAGGACCCCCAGUCGGCAGCUAGAGCAACCCAAAUCCAGCCAGCGCAAACCCCAGCUCCAGGCGACUGGAUAGCCCCAACUCCCCGCCAGAUAUGCUGCUUUUGUUACACAGGAUAGACCCGGUGCUGCCACUAGCCACCAACCCACUGUGACACCUGGUGCUGGGGUAUUUAUGUUUGCCAAAUUCAGGCUGUCUCUGAGCUGCUGCCUGCUUUCCUCCCAGUCCACAGCAGCAGGGACUGAGGCGGAGGGACUGUGGGGUGGCUAACCUCCUAAUUCUUGUCUCAUUUGUGGUCAGAUGAGCAGAGACAGACAGAGAGAGGGUGGGGCAAGGAGGGGCUGAGUGAAUGCACAGCACCCAAGCACCCAACUCGACCAACGAACUAAGUAAUAUGUUGUUUUCAGCAGAUCAUCUGGAGGCAUGUUUACUAUGCACUGUACUCAUCACUGACAGUUUUCUGUAAACGCCCUGUGGAUAUGCUGAAUGUUUUCAACUUCUCCAUUUUGGCAGCAGUGGUCUGGCAAAUUGAUUUUCCUUGCCACAAUAGGAGGGAGUGGAAAUAAAAGUUGAUUACAUCAUUAAGUACAACUGACCCUCGCUUACUGACAAACAGUAUCUGAUUGUGCCUCUUAGAUUUCAAGCACUUUGUGGCCCAAUAAGGCAGCUACUGGCUGUAGGUGCUAAUUUGUGGAUCCAAGUUAAUCCUCAUAUCAUCCAUUACAAACACUAUCACAUGGAGGGAUCUAUUAUACAAACGGUGCCCACUUUGUAUAAGGUUUAAUAGCUUUAACUCUGCCUUUAGUAGGGUUAAAGGAUUACUUGCACAUGUUUUUAAGUGUCAAAAUAUACUUAAUUUACUUAAAUUAAACUGCUGCCCAACUGAGACUCCACUGACUGUUGAGGCAGACUCUUUAAAGCUUGUUUUGUGACAACACAGAGCUCAUUUAAUGGUCAGCACCCUGUGUUUGUACUGUUAAUGAUGCUAUUAAAUUAAAUGUGAUGCAGAAUAGGCCAGCCAUUGCAGAGAUGAAGGUUAUGACUCUGCAUUUGAGCCCACAGCUGAGACGCAGCAGCGCAUGAGAUAGCACUUUCAUUAGUGCUGUCUCUAAUAAAGUGCACAUCAUCAUACAUUGCUGGGAAAAUUAUUGAUUUAGCGUUGAGAAUCCAAUGUGACACUCACAGAAGUGAGGUGGUCACAAACAGAAUGCCCAGAAGUCAUACUGAGACAACAAAAUGGCGAAUCGCUGGAUGAUGAGUCAUUUGUGGGUUGAAUCCAUCCAUCCAUCCAUCCUUACUUCCUUAUUUUUCCUAUUGUAUUUGUCUCCAAGAUCAACUGGCCAUCUGUCAAAACUAGUUUUCACUGGCCUUUGCAGUGUAUGGUACCCAACAGCAGGUUUGAUGUCAAGCAGAAGCUAAAGGUUGUUUGCAACCAGGACAUCUGAAAAGGUUCCUGGCUGCUGUUCACAUGUGUUAUCACUUUAUACAUCCCCUGUGUGUAAUUCAUUUAAUGUACUGGACACAGGGUUUCAGUGGCUAUUCUGCUGCCAUGGGGUCGAUCUUAUUAAAAUGUGAUUGCAGCUCAUGUAACAGGCAUGGUAAAUGGUUAUUAGGUCCAUCCCCCAAUUAGUCAUCAGUCACAGAUGUUUUUUCUUCUUGUUGUUGCUACAUUUUAGACCAAAUUUAUGAUUACAGUUUCGAAAACAGAUCUCCUCAUAAUGGCCUCUGUCCAAAUUGCUUCCUGAUGACAUUAACUGAUCAAAUCCAGAAUUCUUCAAAGGACGUGUACAAUUAUGCAGUUUACUGUAUGGAAAGUCUGCUGUUUGUAUCGUCUUCCUUGCUAAUGAUGCUAAAAGUGCUCCGUAAACUCCCCUCGCUAAAAUGAUUUCAGUGAUUAGACUCUCCCCCUGAAAAAGCAUAUAUUGUUUUCUUUAAAAAAAAAAAAAUACUUUCUCUAGUUUGUCUUUUGACUUUAACAGUUUCAACGGACUGAAAAGCCCGUUGAAACGGGCACCUUAUCUAUUUAUGACAGUAGUAAUAAUCAUAAUAUUGCGAUUUUUAUUUUCUUUUAAACUCUAUGAACUGAAACAAGUUGACAACUUGGCAUCAAAAUAAGCAGCUGAGUCCAACUUGCUAUUAAUGGCACCGAUACAGAGCUUCCUGUCUACAACCUGGCAUCAAAACAGCUCAUAGUCCAUUGUAUUAUUUAUAAACCGCUGCAUGUGCACAAAAAGCCACAAGUGUGCGGAGACACAGCUAAACACAGAUCUAUAUCUGGGUGCAUAACAUUUUGACAUACUUUAGAUAAGAUUGUUGUUUUUGUAGUUGGCUGGCAUAUGCUUCAAAGCUGUAAAAGGAAAUGAUAAACCCACCCUAGUAGGUGAAAGAAAAUAGCCCAAUUUCAAGACACCUGAUGACUUUUUUUGUGCAAGACGUUCAAUU